UACGGAGGGUGCGAGCGUUGUCCGGAAUCAUUGGGCGUAAAGGGCGCGUAGGUGGCCCGGUCAGUCUUUGGUGAAAGCGCGGGGCUCAACCCUGCGUCGGCCAGGGAUACUGCCGCGGCUCGAGCACUGUAGAGGCAGGCGGAAUUCCGGGUGUAGCGGUGGAAUGCGUAGAGAUCCGGAAGAACACCGGUGGCGAAGGCAGGUCUCUGGGCAUUAACUGACGCUGAGGAGCGAAAGCAUGGGGAGCGAACAGG
rnacentral:rRNA from 1 species